rnacentral:rRNA from 1 species
GAUGAACGCUGGCGGCGUGCCUAAUACAUGCAAGUCGAGCGAACAGACGAGGAGCUUGCUCCUCUGAUGUUAGCGGCUGACGGGUGAGUAACACGUGGAUAACCUACCUAUUUGACUUGGAUAACUUCGUGAAGCCGGAUCUAAUACCGGCUAACAUGUUGAACCGCUUGGUUCAACAGUGCUAUACGGUCUUGCUGUCUCUUUUAGAUGUUUCCGCUCCGCAUUAGCUAGUUGGUAAGGUAACGGCUUACCAAGGCAACGAUGCGUAGCCGACCUGAGAGGGUGAUCGGCCACACUGGAACUGAGACACGGUCCAGACUCCUACGGGAGGCAGCAGUAGGGAAUAUUCCGCAAGGGGCGAAAGCAUGACGGAGCAACGCCGCGUGAGUGAAGAAGGUCUUCGGAUCGUAAAACUCUGUUAUUAGGGAAGAAAAAAUGUGGAAGUAACUAUGGACGUCUUGACGGUACCUAAUCAGAAAGCAACGGCUAACUACGUG